UACGGGGGGGGCAAGCGUUGUUCGGAAUUACUGGGCGUAAAGGGCUCGUAGGCGGCCAACUAAGUCAGACGUGAAAUCCCCAGGCUCAACCUGGGAACUGCGUCUGAUACUGGAUGGCUUGAAUCCGGGAGAGGGAUGCAGAAUUCCAGGUGUAGCGGUGAAAUGCGUAGAUAUCUGGAGGAAUACCGGUGGCGAAGGCGGCAUCCUGGACCGGCAUUGACGCUGAGGCGCGAAAGCUAGGGGAGCAAACAGG
rnacentral:rRNA from 1 species